AUCCUAGAAAUCUGAUUUAUAAUAGAUAUAUUGGCGGCUACACCUUCUUGUGUUUGUGUGCAGGAACGGACAGCCAAAAUUUGUAACAAGUAAUGUUUUUGGAGUUCAUUUUUAAAGAAAAUAGAUUGUUUACACUGUUAAAAUUAGGUUUUUGCCUCUCAAAAUUGUGGUUGUAUGAAGCCUUCUGAGUGGCCUAGUCCACUACCUCCCCCUUAUCCACAGCCUCAACCCCAGCCGCUGAGGGAACCCCAAACCCCUUGGAACGUCGAGAGGCGGACCGCUGUGGGUACAUGGAGCCACAGGGAGCCACAAAGCGCAGAGUCCGGGUGGACUCUGGUGGACCUGCCCAAACUUUAAACCCUUCAGUACUGGUCAUUUUCCUCUGCUGGUAUUUAUAACUGGAAAAUUAACCACCCCCUUUCUCAGGAUCCCCAACGCCUCACAGGGUUGGUGGAGUUCCUUAUGUUCUCUCAUCAGCCUACUUGGGAUGACUGUCAACAGCGGUUGCAGAUGCUCUUAACAACCAAAGAGCGAGAGAGAAUUCUGUUAGAGGCUAAAAAAAUAGCCCGGAAGCCAAUGGCGGUCUACACAGCUACAAAAUGAGAUCGACAUGGGAUUCCCUUUGACUCGCCCCAGUUGGGGCUGCAACAUGGCUAAAGGAAAAGAAAAGCUGUGGGUUCCUUCCAAGUUGAUAAAAAUCAGACAUGACAAAGGGAAAUCUGAAGACCUUGGCAACAGAGAAGAAAAGGGAGACUAACACAAUCAACAAAAUAGGUGAUGUAUAUGUGGUAAUGUCUAUGUCUGUAUAUGGAGACAGCUCUGGAACUGGCUAAGACUAAAAUGUCUAUACACUGCCAAUAACACUUAUUGGGUACAAAUUUCUUGUGACUUGUUAUUACUUACCAUCCUUUAUGAGGGCAAGUAUACAAAGUUAUAUUGCAGUUUGAUUACGUGAUCAAACUAACCUGAAGAAAGGCAAUCAUCUUUCUUCAGUGAUCUUCAUUGAUCAAUCUGUAUACCCUGCAUAUUCCAUGUGAAUGUCUUUACAGGACUAUAAGUUGCUUGUAAGUUUUGUGUACUUCAGGAUGAAAGAAGAGAAAAACAGCCCUGAAAAGAUUCACACUCUGGGAUGCUGAGAUUCCAGCUUCGCACUUGUCUCUACCUUAACUAUAUUGAAGAUGCUUCAUUUAAAGACUUGCUUCCAGAAGUUUUCCAGAACAGAUCAUUUGACUAGAGACCUGCCUGCUCCUGACAACACCCCUUUGCUGGAUUCAAAGAAGAAAUUGAGCACCAAUGGAGUUGCUCCAGUUGUGGCGAGACAGCUACUAGACAGGGUAAUCAGCCCUUCAAAAUUCUGCAUUACAAAGGUCUGACAGAUGAUCCUGGUCCAGAAGGCUGAAGAAGACUGAUGCUCCAACAUUUUGAAGUAUAAGGGAUUAUCCAAGUGAUUAGUGGUCUCUAUAGAUUGGCUAAGUUUUGGAAGAUAUAUUUUGUACUUCUCAUAUUUUCAGGUAAUAUUAGUCAUUCUUGGAUUUCUGAGGGGGUUGAAGACUGGUAGUCUCAUAGCUAACCCAAGCUGAUUACCAUUAAGAAAGAUGAUAUAGAUUUUAGAGGAUGGUUUUCAGAUGGCAUACAAUCUAAACCCAGGACAUGAGUUAGGUGUAGAAUCAUAAGUCUUUUAAGUUAGGACAGGUGAUGGAGGUUGUAUUUAACUGACAAAAAUGAUGGACUGGGUGUUAGGUCUAUCUUGUACUUUAUUAAUUACAAAAUGGUAAUAGUUGUGCUCAAUUUAUAUCUAAGAGUCUUUUAAUUGAACAGAAAGGGGGAAGUGUUAUGGAUAGCCCUGUAGUUGCUUGUAUUUUGAAGCUAAUUCUGCUCUCAGGUAGUGACUUCUAGUGAACCUUCUCCCCACCUUAAUUUGUAAAAUAAAGUCUAGGGCCAGUGACUGGGCUGGAGAAGGGAAGGUGGAGCUGUAAGGCUGAGAGUGAAGGAGGAGAAGAGAGGGCAAUGGAGGAGCAGGUGGAAGGAAAGUGGAGCAGAAGCAUGUGGCUUGGAGAAACUGCAAGGAAUAAGAAAUUUCAUAGAUAGGGAAGAUGGUAGUGUAGUGGUAGAUCUGCCCAAUCUAGACAUGCAGCUUGUAUUCAUAUUAAUUGAGUUGUGUUUUCUUCAUCCGGGCUUAUUUGGGUUGGAGAUUUACUGCAGUAGAUAUCUGUGGAGAAUCCCAGUGUCUGUCAUCAAAUUUUAUUUUGUAUGAUAAUAAGCAAUUGCAUGUCACAGUCAGAUUCAUUGUUCAAUUCUGAACCAUAUUUAAUUUUCAAUUUUUGGCUUCUCAAUUAAAUCAUACUUGGUAGGAUAGCUUUUAUGUGACCAACAACAAGUUCUGUGUCAAUAAAUUCUAUCCUAAAGUC